rnacentral:snRNA from 14 species
GUGUUCGCUUUGGUAGCACAUAUACUAAAGUUGGGACAACACAGAGAAGAUGAUAGUCUUGGCCUCUGAGCAAGACUCACGAGUUAGUGAAGCUUGCUGUAUUAAA